GACGAAGGAUCCAAGCGUUAUCCGGAUUUAUUGGGUUUAAAGGGUGCGUAGGCGGACUUGUAAGUCAGUGGUGAAAGCCCGAUGCUUAACAUCGGAACUGCCAUUGAUACUGCAAGUCUUGAAUAUGUUUGAAGUGGGCGGAAUGUGUCGUGUAGCGGUGAAAUGCUUAGAUAUGACACAGAACACCGAUUGCGAAGGCAGCUCACUAAACCAUUAUUGACGCUGAUGCACGAAAGCGUGGGGAGCAAACAGG
rnacentral:rRNA from 1 species